GGUGAACGCUGGCGGCGUGCCUAAUACAUGCAAGUCGAGCGAAUGGAUUAAGAGCUUGCUCUUAUGAAGUUAGCGGCGGACGGGUGAGUAACACGUGGGUAACCUGCCCAUAAGACUGGGAUAACUCCGGGAAACCGGGGCUAAUACCGGAUAACAUUUUGAACCGCAUGGUUCGAAAUUGAAAGGCGGCUUCGGCUGUCACUUAUGGAUGGACCCGCGUCGCAUUAGCUAGUUGGUGAGGUAACGGCUCACCAAGGCAACGAUGCGUAGCCGACCUGGGAGGGUGAUCGGCCACACUGGGACUGAGACACGGCCCAGACUCCUACGGGAGGCAGGAGUAGGGAAUCUUCCGAAAUGGACGAAAGUCUGACGGAGCAACGCCGCGUGAGUGAUGAAGGCUUUCGGGUCGUAAAACUCUGUUGUUAGGGAAGAACAAGUGCUAGUUGAAUAAGCUGGCACCUUGACGGUACCUAACCAGAAAGCCACGGCUAACUACGUGCCAGCCGCCGCUGUAA
rnacentral:rRNA from 1 species